rnacentral:rRNA from 1 species
GACGAACCGUGCGAACGUUGUUCGGAAUCACUGGGCUUAAAGGGCGCGUAGGCGGGCCGUCAAGUCCGGGGUGAAAGCUCCCGGCUUAACCGGAAAAGGGCCUUGGAUACUGGCGGUCUGGAGGGAGGUAGGGGUCUGCGGAACUGCUGGUGGAGCGGUGAAAUGCGUUGAUAUCAGCAGGAACGCCGGUGGCGAAAGCGGCGGACUGGACCUCUUCUGACGCUGAGGCGCGAAAGCCAGGGGAGCAAACGGG